rnacentral:lncRNA from 1 species
CAACUUGUACCAAUACUAAAAAUAAAUGAUGGGCUUAAACAAGAAUAGAAAAUAAUAAACACAACAAACAAAACAAAAAAAGAAUAGAGAAAAAUAGGCAAACAAAAUAUAAUUUUGAAAGUUACUUGAUUAUUAAAGAAUACAGAGUUAAGGGACCCCUUCCCCCAUGCAAACCCUCACAGCUUUUAGGGUGUUUGAUAGUCAGGACCAACAGAGACCUCUAUAGGUAUUUACAUCCUUGUUUU